rnacentral:rRNA from 1 species
UCGUAGGCGGUUUGUCGCGUCUGCUGUGAAAUCCCGAGGCUCAACNUCGGGCCUGCAGUGGGUACGGGCAGACUAGAGUGCGGUAGGGGAGAUUGGAAUUCCUGGUGUAGCGGUGGAAUGCGCAGAUAUCAGGAGGAACACCGAUGGCGAAGGCAGAUCUCUGGGCCGUAACUGACGCUGAGGAGCGAAAGGGUGGGGAGCAAACAGGCUUAGAUACCCUGGUAGUCCACCCCGUAAACGUUGGGAACUAGUUGUGGGGUCCUUUCCACGGAUUCCGUGACGCAGCUAACGCAUUAAGUUCCCCGCCUGGGGAGUACGGCCGCAAGGCUAAAACUCAAAGGAAUUGACGGGGACCCGCACAAGCGGCGGAGCAUGCGGAUUAAUUCGAUGCAACGCGAAGAACCUUACCAAGGCUUGACAUACACGAGAACACCCCAGAAAUGGGGGACUCUUUGGACACUCGUGAACAGGUGGUGCAUGGUUGUCGUCAGCUCGUGUCGUGAGAUGUUGGGUUAAGUCCCGCAACGAGCGCAACCCUCGUUCUAUGUUGCCAGCACGUAAUGGUGGGAACUCAUGGGAUACUGCCGGGGUCAACUCGGAGGAAGGUGGGGAUGACGUCAAAUCAUCAUGCCCCUUAUGUCUUGGGCUUCACGCAUGCUACAAUGGCCGGUACAAAGGGCUGCAAUACCGUGAGGUGGAGCGAAUCCCAAAAAGCCGGUCC